rnacentral:lncRNA from 1 species
UGGCGACCCCGGAAGUGGGUCGGGGGCUUGGCCUCGGCCAGGCCAAGGAGCCGGCACAGAUAGUGGUGGCCGCUGGAGUCCGGCCAACCGAGCCUGUCCGGUGGCGGAGGCCGGAUGCGGCCCGAGCCGGGGGCCCAGGAUGCUGAACGUCCCUUCCCAGGCUUUCCCGGCCCCCGGCUCCCAGCAGCGCGUUGCCUCCCAGGGGCGUAGCAAGGGUUUGUUUACAAUGUCAGCCCAUAUAUGGAGUAUCAUCCUGGUGGGGAGGAUGAGCUUAUGAGAGCCGCAGGAGCAGAUGGAACGGAUCUUUUUAAUGAGACUGUCAUGAAGGAAAGAGAGUCUUAAAUGGCAUGCUUCCCAAGAGCCAAGUGACAGACACACUGCCCAGGGAAGGCCCCAGUUCUCCAAGCUAUGAUUGGUUCCAAACAGAGUCUUCAGUGACCAUUGUUAUAUACACCAAGCAGAAGAAUAUCAAUUUAGACUCAGUAAUCGUUGACCUCCAGGAUGACUCCUUGAGAGCAGAAGCAGUCAUCAAGGAUCAUUCUUAUCUUAUACAUAUUGGGUUAAGCCAUGAAGUUCAAGAAAAUUUUUCUGUACGGGUUAUUGAGAAUGUUGGAAAAAUAGAGAUUGUCCUACAAAAGAAAGAAACUGUUUCUUGGAAAUGUCUUGGUGAUCCCCUGGAGAAACAUGAUUCUUUUAUUCCAAAGAAAGAUACAGGCUUGUACUAUAGACAGUGCCAGUUAAUUUCCAAGGAAGACGUUACUCAUGACACAAGGCUCUUCUGUCUGAUGCUGCCUCCCAGUACUCACCUUCAGGUGCCAGUUGGGCAACAUGUUUACCUCAAGCUCAGUGUCACAG